CCCUUAGAUGUUCUGGGCUGCACGCGCGCUACACUGAAGCGUUCAACGAGUAUUUCACCUUGCCCGGGAGGGUUGGGUAAUCUUUUUAAAACGCUUCGUGAUGGGGAUAGAUUAUUGCAAUUAUUAAUCUUCAACGAGGAAUUCCUAGUAAGCGCGAGUCAUCAGCUCGUGCUGAUUACGUCCCUGCCCUUUGUACACACCGCCCGUCGCUCCUACCGAUUGGGUGUGCUGGUGAAAUGUUCGGAUCGGCCGUUUGUCGCGGUUUCCGCGGCUCGUGGCUGAGAAGUUCAUUAAACCCUCCCACCUAGAGGAAGGAGAAGUCGUAACA
rnacentral:rRNA from 1 species